CAGAUGGUUAUUAGAGAAUAACUAGUAUUCAGUAUGACCAUACGAGAGAUCAUUUGGAUUUCUAUUUGAUCAUCAGUGAUUGUCUCGAUGCUGUAGUUGUGUGAAUGAUCUUUUGACUUGAGAUAGUACUGCUACUCACAGCGAGGCUGCUAAAGUUUGACUGAAACAUAAAUAUGGAUCUCAAUAAGCCCUUGUAGUAGAUGUUGACGAUAGUUAGUCCACUGUAGG
rnacentral:lncRNA from 1 species